UCCCCCUGCAUGGCGUCCAGGUCACAGGCUGGCAAAAGGCAAGAAGGGGCUCUGAUCAUUUCCGAACGUGGUCCCUGCUACUGCAGAGAAGGGGCUGGAUCUGCCCAGUGCAGCCAGAAAUCUUAACAAGACAAGAGGCCUCCAGAGUGAAGUACCAUCUUGGAGCAAGGGCAGAAGAUGCAAAGGCAAGGAAGCCUCCGUGGGUCAAGGCCAGUUUGGGUGUCUUUCCAUCCCUGGCACUCUUUCAGGAGACCCCACAGACACACUCUGGUCACAUCCACACCAUAUAAAGGACCUCCCAGUCACUACAAGAGGUCCACCUACUACCUCCAGCUCAUCACUAUCUCCAUGAACAGUGCUGCCUGCUAAAUUUCUGUGUGCUGGUCUGCUGUAAAAGGAACAGGGCAGGUUUAGCACCGAUAACUCUAAUGCCAACCUGGAGAGGCUCAUUCUUGCUCGUGCUUGUAAAAAAGAAAACGAAAUUAAACGCUCUUGUAGACCAAUCCAGCAACAGAAAUCCACCCGCAUAAACCU